UACGUAGGCAGCGAGCGUUGUUCGGAAUUACUGGGCGUAAAGAGUGUGUAGGCGGUGCUCUAAGUUUGGUGUGAAAGCCCCCGGCUCAACCGGGGAGGGUGGCUGGAAACUGGGGUUCUUGAGGGCGAGAGAGGAGGGUGGAAUUCCUGGUGUAGCGGUGAAAUGCGUAGAGAUCAGGAGGAACACCCGGGGCGAAGGCGGCCCUCUGGCUCGACCCUGACGCUGAGGCGCGAAAGCGUGGGGAGCGAACGGG
rnacentral:rRNA from 1 species